CACCGUCCCAGACACCUGAGGUAUAAAGCCGUAGAUCUACAACGACUCUUCCUUCUUUCCCAUCCUCAUGGAAGAGUCCCUUCUAUACAGUCCUCGGUUGUCUGGUGGGUGUCUUGUUUUCUCCUUUGUUUCGGUAGUAGACCAUUUACUGACUGGGCAGGAAUAGUGCGUAGAACGAUUGUUAACUCCUGCCCAGGUAUGUUGUCUAUUCCUCAUGGAAGAGUCCCUUCUAUACGGUCCUCGGUUGUCUGUGCAUAGAACGAUUGUUAACUCCUGCCCAGAUUUUGCCAUACAUGCACACCUGUAGACCGUUUGCCGUUCUCUCUUGCCGUGCACACUGAACUUCAACGCCGACUCAACCCAGUAACAUAUUCAGCCGUAGUGAACAAACCUUCUCAAGGUCUGUUACAGACGGAGGUAUAUUCGCUUGGGAAGAUCAGGCAAGCUUAUAUACUAGUGGAGUAAGUUUAUGUCAAAGGUAGUGCAAGGUAAGACGAGGGCGAGCACUGGGAGCUGAAGGACCUUUCGCAAAGUAACUUAUGAAAUAUUGAUCUUUG
rnacentral:sRNA from 1 species